rnacentral:rRNA from 1 species
UACGUAGGGUGCAAGCGUUGUCCGGAAUUAUUGGGCGUAAAGAGCUCGUAGGCGGUCUGUCGCGUCUGCUGUGAAAACUCAGGGCUUAACCCUGAGCUUGCAGUGGGUACGGGCAGACUAGAGUGCGGUAGGGGAGACUGGAAUUCCUGGUGUAGCGGUGAAAUGCGCAGAUAGUCAGGAGGGAACACCGGUGGGCGGAAGGCGGGUCUCUGGGCCGGUACU